GCUAUAAACUUAUCGAAAAUACAAACAAUGUGCAUAUUCCACUACAAAUUAAUGUAAUUCAGUAAUAAUUACAACUAAAAUAACAAAAAAGAAGUUAAUCCACUUUUUGUUCCUGGUUCGCUGAAAUCCGAAAGCUUCUUCCUUGUUUCAACAAUUUCAUCAAAAAAUCACCAAGAACAAAAACAUUGCCAAAACUAAAAGAACAAAAAUCAGCCGUUAAAAUAACAUCCAUUAUCAAAUUAAUUAAAUUCAACUGGUGAGAACGGUCCAAAAAUCAAAACAUGGAAAAAAAAUUCAAGUAAUACACAUAUCAUCACACAAUUAAUAUUUCAAAUCUCAAAAGAAAAAAGAUAUACUGAUCAAUAAGAAUUUUAUCAAAAUUAAUUGUAGUUUAUCGCGCAAAUCAGAUGAGAAUACAAAUCAAUUACGUACGAUUAAGUCGUUCUUCUGUUGCGAUGUUGCACGGAAACCCUAGCACGGGUUUUAACGAAGCAGCCGCGCACCAUUGUGCUUCUCU
rnacentral:lncRNA from 1 species